AUCAGAAUCACGUAUUGACUUUUGAUAUUUGUCUUUCUAUUCCUUUAGCAACUGGGGUGUUGAUGCUGCUGCACGUAUCUCCCAUUUUGCCCUUCUGCUUUGUGUAAAAGAAUAGCAAAACAUGCCAUCUCUGUGUGCAAUUUCUGAACACAGCGGUGAUGCAGGCACUCGCUGAGGUCACAGUGGCUGCCGGGCUGGGAGCGUUUGUGCCCCAGCUGGGAGCAGAGCUGGUGCUCUAGUGAGCGUGGUGCACACUGAGACCGAGCUCUGUGCUUUCAUUGAGAGAUCUUCCUGUGAGAGCCCACUGGAAGCAGCGCUGCGGCGUGUGUGAGAGCUGGGCACAGCUCCGGCUGAGCAGUGGCCAGGUGCAAAACUAUGGAGGAGAUGGAGAAGAACGCUUGCUGUCAGAACUCAUGGCAGCUGCGUGGGAGCUGGAUGUAUUUGGGAGACAGUUCUCAUUAGUAGUUGGUUUGGAGUAUUGCCCUGCCCGAUAGCUUAAACUGCAUAGCAGAAGAAAGCUGGGAAAAUGCUUUUUCCUCUUUUUCACUUGCAGGUUCUUUCUUCAGGGUUGGUUUACAAAAGGAGGUGUUGGGGACUGAGGCAGUUGAAGAGUGAAGCCAGCUCUUUCCACCAGCGGGGGGUCAGUCCCUGUGGAGAGGACCCCAGGAACGUGAGCUUCCUCUGAGACGUUCCCCACAUGUCCCAGCAGGGACACAGACGCGGUUCCCAUUCCUGCUUUGCGCGUGGAAAGAAGCAGCGCCGUGCUGUUCCCCAUGCUAGGGAGCAGCAGCCAGCAGGCUGCCCCAGUGCCAGCUGGGCCUUGCAGCGCGCAGAGGGACGCGAUGGGGACGGAGCAUCCUUAGCACCAUGCACAAGGACGGAGCCUGCGCGUCCAUGGAAUGGUGCUGGGCAUGGGGGGAAACGGAAAGCCUCCCCAGGAGCUGAUGACAACAGGCUUGCAGGGAGGCAGGGGAGGAGCAAGGAGAGUGGCCCAGCACCCAAGAGAGGGAGAGGUGCUGAGCCAAAUGGCGAAAGCUACGUGCAAACUCCUCUCCAGGCUGGAGGGCUUCCUGAAGCAGCAGGUCCCAGCAGAGGGGGAACAGCUGCUCCUGCAGUUGCCAACUGCUCCUCCUCCAAGAUCGUGGUCGCAAGAAAGCGCAAGGGAGUGGAAGAGGAGGAGCAGGAGGCAGAGCUGGGUCCUGCCAACAAACAAGUGAAAGUGGAGCACAAUGGGGAGAAGGCUCAGAGCCCUCAUCAGAGCAGAGGUGCUGUGCCAGCUCCAUCAGCACAGCCUGGGCCUGCCCCAGUGCCGACCGAGAGGUUCCGGACCUCAAAGCGAAGAGAAAGACGACGACGACAGAAAGAAAGGAGAGCAGAAAUGAAGAAGGCUGCUCUCAGAGCUGCUGCUGCACAUGCAGAGUUCUCCACCAUGAACAGCCUUGUGGAGAUGAUGGAGAAGCUGCAGCUGAAGGACUGAGCGGAGGAGCAUCAGCAGGCAGCGGCUUUGUGGCAGCAGCCCAACUUGGCGCUCUGGGUUCAAUCCAUCAAUAAACAAUUGGAGUUUUGCAUUCACAAGGAGCGCAUGGCCUGAUUUGUCCAGCGGCACCCAGUGAGCUGCUGCUCCACCUCCUGGUUAUUGCUCCACCUCCUCGUUGUUCCUCUGGCGGCGCUGGGUCAGAGCUCCCACAGCUCCAUCAGGGAAUGCUGCAGGGUACAGAAGCAAUGGACGCACCAAUCCUGGGCCCUGCCCACAGACGCACUGUCUGAGCAGUUAGAGAGCAGCUCCAUAGAGCCGUCUGACUUUCUCGGGGCAGCACUGAGCAAAGUGAGCGUGUGCCCCUCAGCCUGCAGGCGUCUCUGCUGGGGGAAGAGAGGCUCCGCUGGCCGCCUGAUCCCGGAAGGCAGAGCUGUUCUCCUGACUUCUCUGCAGUGCUGCCUUCCUUCAUCGUCCCCCCUUUCUUCAGAUAUUUUGAUGCUACUUUUCACCCUUUGGGGCGGAGCUUGAGUGACUCUCAUCAUUGCAGAGCUUUGUACUGAGCGGAGUGGAAUUUUCUGGCUUUGUUUCUACAAGCCUAGGCUGAAAACCGCAGCGUGCGUGCGAGAUGGGAGUCCUAGCACUCUGGAAGUGGAUAAGUGUUGGGAUGGAGCUGCUUUUGGUUUUCUAAUGAGUGCAUAAGGAGCAAAGUUUGCCAACAGGAUGGUGUUUGCUCAACUAAUGACUAGGAGCGAUGUGCAGAGGAAGAUGGCAGUUGGCAGAUGGUGCGUGGCCAGAGCUGCUGUUUCUGUCCUGCAGCCGGGAAUGCUCCACGCCGAGGGGUGCGGGCUGUGAGAGGAACCUGUCUGUGGAAGCGUGGCCGUUCCUCCCGUCUGAUGGGGCAGAAGGCAGGGACAGGAGAGGAAAGCUGAACAGAUGUGCAUUUUCGUCACGGCUCUUCCUGUGUGGGAAAUGAGCUGUGCCACUGUGCUUCUUUGUGCUGGCUAGUUCUGGAGCUGUGCCUUCGACUUGAUGCUCAGCUGUUCCUGUGUGCAAUGCUCCACACUCGGACCCUGCAGAGCCCAGAGGCCUCCUUGGCUGCUGUCACUCACCUGGAGCUUGCAGGGUGCUGUGCGUGCUGGAUGUAGCUGCUUCCAGCUGUCAUUUGCAAGGCCCUGCUUUGAUCUCCAACCGAGCCUGUUGUGCUGUGGAGAGCAGUGGAAGCCGUUCAGUUGCAUGACCAAGGGGUGCAGCCUGGUUCCCCCCUCCCUAAGGGGGAGGCUCAUGGAAGGGCUGGCUGCCUGCAGGGAAGGAGCUCUGCUGUUUUGUGCGCCCUGUUGCUCAGAAUGGGGUCAGCAGUUCUGUGGAGAUUUCCUGGGUUGAGUCCUUUGUGUUUCUCGGGUAACUUAAAGCUGUGUCUGCUCUUGCCUCUGUUUGCAGCUGCCGCGCCUCUGGCCUUGGCCCCCACAGAAGCCCCUCCUGGUUGUCAGUGGCAGCUGUUAGCUGUGCAGUGCCAGCAGUCUGUGGAAACGGCAGCACUUGGGAGGAUGACACAGUUUGCCUGAUUUUAUGCUUUCUGGAUGCGGUCAGGGCAUGGGCACAGCUGACAACACACUGAUGGUGUCCUGCUGGGAAAUGGAUGCGCUGGAUGGCAGAGGAGGAUUCUGAGCCCAGUAUGGGAUCAUCUUUGUUCCUUCGUGAAGGGUCCCCUGAGACGAGCACUGAGUCAGCCUCGGGAGCGCAUUGAAGGCAACUCAGCUGUGUGAGCAGAAGGGCUGCAGCCUGGCUGCGCCUCUCCUGGGCCCCACCGAAGGACCGACUGCCUCUGGGGAAGGAUCUCUCUCUGGACGUCGCCCCUCUUGGAGUCUUUUCCCGCGAGCCCAGGUCACAGGUAAGCUCUCCGUUCAUUUCUGAUUCUCCCUCUCUAAUGCGACCAUCUUUGCAGCCUGCCCUCUCUGCAUCCUUACUGAUUGACAUCUGGGAUCUGGUUGUUGAUGCGCUUGGCGAGCCAGGCAGGCCAAAGGUGCUGCCAGGAAAGGAAGGGUGGCCGUGGUGGGCGACUCCCUUCUCGGAGGAAUGCAGGGCCCCAUCUGCAGACUGGACCCGAAGCACUGGGAAGUGUGCUGCCUUCCUGGGUCAGGGCCAUAGCCAGGAACCUCCCCAGGCUGGUUAGGGCCACUGGUUCUUUUCCUUUACUCGUAGUUCAGCUUAGCAGUGAGGAAAUUGCUCAGAGAAGGCUACAAAUGAUGACGAGAGAUUUCAGUGGUUUCUGGGAUGUGGGGCUUUUGUGGGGUA